ensembl:misc_RNA 7SK 7SK RNA
GGAUGUGAGGGCGAUCUGGCUGUGACAUCUGUCACCCCUCUGAUCACCAGGGUUGAUUCGGCUGAUCUGGCUGGCUAGGCGUGUGUCCCCUCAGCACUCCAUGUGCGUCUCUCCCCAAUCUGCAGGAGUCCCACCCGAAUCUACGCACUCCGUCUAAGAGGACGGCCUUCCCUGAAUAGAGACAGACUGGUCUUCCGUCGAGGGUAUACGAGUGGCAGCUGUUAAUUAUCAGGGCUUGUAAGGGUACAGCCACAUUUCAGGGAGCACCGCUCCACUG